rnacentral:piRNA from 1 species
UUGAAGGCAGUCUGAACCCUUGUGCUUGGU